rnacentral:miRNA from 12 species
AAAGUCUUAAUGCAGGUUUAAGG